rnacentral:rRNA from 1 species
GACGAACGCUGGCGGCGCGCUUAACACAUGCAAGUCGAACGGGGCCCUUCGGGGUUCAGUGGCGAACGGGUGCGUAACACGUGAGCAACCUGCCCAUGCAUGGGGGAUAACCAAGGGAAACCUUGGCUAAUACCGCAUACGUUCCCCGGGUCGAUUGACCUGGGGAGGAAAGCUGCUGAAAGGCNGCGUGCGUGGAGGGGCUCGCGGCGUAUCAGGUAGCUGGUGAGGUAACGGCUCACCAGGCCGACGACGCGUAGCCGAUCUGAGAGGAUGAUCGGCCACAUUGGGACUGAGAUACGGCCCAGACUCCUACGGGAGGCAGCAGUGGGGAAUCUUGCGCAAUGGGCGAAAGCCUGACGCAGCG